rnacentral:lncRNA from 1 species
GGCUGUGUGGCUGCUUGAUUUUCAUUGUCUAGUGGCAGCCAAAAUUGGAAAAGAGAGAAGUGCAGACUUUAAAGACAAGCAGCGACAGCUCAUCAGCAGUCUAACAACACGACAGAUGACAGGCCCAGAGGCACACCCAGGGCCGCCAGCCCAUCACCCUGUGCAGGAUGUCAAAGAGCAGCUGCAGCAAAGGAAGAAGAUCAUCCAGACUUAAAUGUUUGGGCCUUGCUAAGACCAUAGAGUCUUUGUGCUUUGGAAACAGUCCUCCAUACAAAGACCCCUUCCUAGAAAAGAGUGGAAAGAAACCAAGGCACAGGAAGAAAGCAUUGAGGUCACAGGGCAGCUCAGGUCCGCCUGUGGUAAUUGAAAACAGGUGACGAGAUUGGGUUGAUUUUAUUUUGGAAAAGUAAAUUAGUGCUGCACCACUCGGACAUGGCUAAUUCAUGAAGCCUCUGGUUUGUAUUAGACACCCAACAUGCCUUUCAGAAAGAAAUGACACAACAAUUAAUGUGUCAAACAAUAAUGUGCCACUCGGAGAAAGAUAAUUGUACCCAUCGUCAGGUAGUUAUUAGGUCGAACGAAUGCUCAUCCUUUCAAAGGCAACAGCGUCUAUUCACUCUGGCAUCCUACUGUAAGUACAGUAUUGUGUUCAUAAUCACACAGACUGAAGCCAGGAACACUGGGUUUUAUCUGAUUUUUCUCCAUUUGGAAUUGUACUCCGAUGAUUCCCUAAACAGCAAACUCAGUCAUGUGAAACACAAAUGAGUGUGAUGAAAGACAGAUUGUUAUACUGCAGGAGAGGCUUUC